rnacentral:rRNA from 1 species
UACGGAGGGGGCUAGCGUUGUUCGGAAUUACUGGGCGUAAAGCGCGCGUAGGCGGACCUGCAAGUCGGGGGGUGAAAGCCCGAGGCUCAACCUCGGAACUGCCUUCGAUACUGCGGGUCUCGAGUCCGGGAGAGGUGAGUGGAAUUCCGAGUGUAGAGGUGAAAUUCGUAGAUAUUCGGAAGAACACCAGUGGCGAAGGCGGCUCACUGGACCGGUAUUGACGCUGAUGUGCGAAAGCGUGGGGAGCAAACAGG